CCUACGGGUGGCAGCAGUCGAGAAUCAUUCACAAUGGGGGAAACCCUGAUGGUGCGACGCCGCGUGGGGGAAUGAAGGUCUUCGGAUUGUAAACCCCUGUCAUGUGGGAGCAAAUUAAAAAGAUAGUACCACAAGAGGAAGAGACGGCUAACUCUGUGCCAGCAGCCGCGGUAAUACAGAGGUCUCAAGCGUUGUUCGGAAUCACUGGGCGUAAGGCGGGCGUAGGCUGUUUCGUAAGGCGUGUGUGAAAGGCGCGGGCUCAACCCGCGGACGGCACAUGAUACUGCGAGACUAGAGUAAUGGAGGGGGAACCGGAAUUCUCGGUGUAGAAGUGAAAUGCGUAGAUAUCGAGAGGAACACUCGUGGCGAAGGCGGGUUCCUGGACAUUAACUGACGCUGAGGCACGAAGGCCAGGGGAGCGAAAGGGAUUAGAUACCCCAGUAGUC
rnacentral:rRNA from 1 species